GGGCGGGUAGCCUAGCCUGGAUAGGGCGGCGGCCUCCUAAGCCGCAGGUCAUGGGUUCAAAUCCCAUCCCGCCCG
rnacentral:tRNA from 2 species